UGGGGAACUUUGGACAAUGGGCGCAAGCCUGAUCCAGCCAUGCCGCGUGCGGGAAGAAGGCCUUCGGGUUGUAAACCGCUUUUGUCAGGGAAGAAAUCUUCUGAGUUAAUACCUCGGGAGGAUGACGGUACCUGAAGAAUAAGCACCGGCUAACUACGUGCCAGCAGCCGCGGUAAUACGUAGGGUGCAAGCGUUAAUCGGAAUUACUGGGCGUAAAGCGUGCGCAGGCGGUUUUGUAAGACAGAGGUGAAAUCCCCGGGCUCAACCUGGGAACUGCCUUUGUGACUGCAAGGCUUGAGUGCGGCAGAGGGGGGAUGGAAUUCCGCGUGUAGCAGUGAAAUGCGUAGAUAUGCGGAGGAACACCGAUGGCGAAGGCAAUCCCCUGGGCCUGCACUGACGCUCAUGCACGAAAGCGUGGGGAGCAAACAGGAUUAGAUAGCCCUGGUAGUCCACGCCCUAAACGAUGUCAACUGGUUGUUGGGAAGGUUCCUUCUCAGUAACGUAGCUAACGCGUGAAGUUGACCGCCUGGGGAGUACGGCCGCAA
rnacentral:rRNA from 1 species